UGCUGUUCAUGGGAGCCACUUUGUUAUCCUCCUUCUGCCUGCUGUCAAGUUAAUACUGUAUGGUUCAUAGCCUUUGGGACAUUUUGUCAGUCUCUCUAAGAUCUUAAUCUUGAUUGGGGGAAAGAUAUUUGUCUUAUUUGGAGAAAAUGUUGAAAGUCAUCAUGUACCAGCUGGCUAAAUCAGAAAAAGCCCUGCUCUAAGCUUACUCUAUAUACACCACCUUAAUAAUUUUUGUACCACCUUCAGGAGGAGUGCGAGUUGUCAGUGUGUACACAGGGAUUUUGAAGUUUUCAGGCCACUAGCUCUCCUGCUCUGCAGGCCCAUCUUGCCUCCUAGAAGUCAGCCAGUUCAGACCUGGUUUGUGUCUGAACAUGUAUCUUGUAUUCACCCGGACUCCUUCCAUGGCUCUCCUGCUCUACACAUCAACAUUGUUUGCCGGAUGGGCAUCUGUGGACGGAGUUGUGUGGAACCUUUCGAGUAUUUAUUAUUCAAAGGCCUUGUUCCCUAUGCUGUUUUAGUAAGGAGGGAGCAAAGGUGUGUGUUUGGUACAGGGAGAUGCAGAGCUGACACAGUGUCACUGACAGGGUGAGCUUCAAAAUCCCACAGUUGACUCCCCCCCUAUUAUUUGUUCCAGUCCAGGAAGGCAUAGAAUCAAUUAAGCAGCCAAGCAAGGAAAAGAGGGGUCUUUGGGAGGCUCCGGGCUUGGCCAGGCCUUGAGAAAACCAGGCCUACAGGAGGGCAGUCGGAGGGAGUGAGAAAGAUGGGAGGAGAAGAAAGAGGUGGCUACACAAAUAUGGAAGGUGGACAACAGAAGAGAUGAGGGAGGGGAGGAAAGAGAGAGAAGAAGAGGGAGGGCUAUUCAAAGAGGGGAGAGGAGAGGUGGGAUAUUCACUGGAUAUGCAUAAACAGGAGAUGAACAGGCAGGCGGGCACGAGAGCGAACAGCAGCAGCAGGUAAAGCUAUACAGGCUUGUCAGAAUCCAGCAGCUAGGCCAGUGAUUUAUGAGGAUCUCCAGUCAAGAUUUCCCUCCAAAUCCUCCAUCCAGCUGCCUUUUGUUCACAGCAGAACACCCCCUCCUGGUUGGCACACAUCUUGGUUUGGUCA